rnacentral:misc_RNA from 1 species
GUAAGAUUUUAAACAAUCCUCAAACGAGGUUGAGGGUCUGGUGAACUUUCUAAUCUGUCAUCGGAUUUUGUAGCGGAUCUAGUGAGCUUUAUUUUCUUUUGAAAGGUCAGACAUCUUUCUUUACAGAAAUAGUAAAUUAUAAACACUAAAAACAGAGAUAUAGAAACAUAGAACAUUAUUGAAUGUGGAUUAGUAAAUUCAAAAUUAUCAUCUAGAUUUAAAUUAAACACUUCCUGUAUCUUUGCCCGAAAUAGAAGAGAAUCAGUAUUUAUUGUCA